UUGUACUGCAUAGGACUUAUAGAUAGAGAUAAAGAAAUUUUAAAUAAUUGUACCUUUUGUAUCAGGAGUUAUUUAAUUUAUAAUAUCUCUUUUUCGAAUUCAGUUGAGUUAAAUUUAAAUGAACAUUUAUGUGGAAUAAUGUUGUUAAGUUAAGUUUAGUGAAGAUAUUUUUACGAAUCUGACAAUAUCUGUUUAUUUAGGAAAAUUUUAGGUUUAUCUCGGUUUGAGUUUAUAAUUGAAGGUUGGUCUUUUAUUUUAGUUAUAUUAAAAAAAAUAGUAAUGAAUUAGGCUUUAGACUAGCUAGUUUUAUAUAGUGUUUUAAGGAAGUUGUAAUGUAGUAAAAAUGUGUUGUUUAUAAAAUUUAUGUAGUAAAUUUAAAUUGCUAUAAAGUUACUGAUAGUAUAAGUAUAUAGGUUAUAUAUUAGAAGAGAAUUCGGCAAGUUUUUAUUGAAUGUUUAGCAAAAACAUUUCCUUAUGAUUUUAAGGUAGGUCCUGCCCGGUGAUUGUUUAAACGGCUGCGGUAUUUUGACUGUGCUAAGGUAGCAUAAUCAUUUGUUUUUUAAUUGAAAGCUGGUAUGAAUGGUUGUACAAUAGGGGUCUGUUUUUUAAUAUUAGUAUAAUUUGUAUUUUAAGUAAGAAUACUUAAGUGGUAUAAAGGGACGAUAAGACCCUAAAAGCUUUAAUUUAUGUAGUUAUUUAUAAAGUAACUUAGAGAAUGUUAGCUGGGGUAGCAGUUAUACUGUAAUUAUAAUUGGGAGUUAUCUUUGAGAAUAAAGAUCCUUUAGAUAAGGAUAGUUAGAUUUAGUUACUUUAGGGAUAACAGCGUGAUAAUUUUGGAGAGAUCUUAUUGAUAUAAUUGUUUACGACCUCGAUGUUGAAUUAAGAUUUUUUAUAGUGCAGAAGAUAUAAUGAAAGGUUUGUUCAACCUAUAGUGUCUUACAUGAUUUGAGUUCAGACCGGUUUAAGCCAGGUUGGUUUCUAUCUUUUAUAAAAUUACAGGUUAGUUUAGUACGAAAGGGCCAACUAAUAGUUUA
rnacentral:rRNA from 1 species